AUUUCUGGUGCCAAUACUGGGUGAUUGUUGCAAUCUUGACGGUCUUUGAAAGAUUCUUCGAUGUGUUCAUUUCAUGGUUGCCAUUGUCUGAUGAGACCAAGCUAGCAUUCUUCAUCUACUUGUGGCACCCAAAAACAAAGGU